AAUAGAUACCCGGGUAGUCCACGCCGUAAACGAUGUCGACUUGGAGGUUGUGCCCUUGAGGCGUGGCUUCCGGAGCUAACGCGUUAAGUCGACCGCCUGGGGAGUACGGCCGCAAGGUUAAAACUCAAAUGAAUUGACGGGGGCCCGCACAAGCGGUGGAGCAUGUGGUUUAAUUCGAUGCAACGCGAAGAACCUUACCUACUCUUGACAUCCACGGAAUUUAGCAGAGAUGCUUUAGUGCCUUCGGGAACCGUGAGACAGGUGCUGCAUGGCUGUCGUCAGCUCGUGUUGUGAAAUGUUGGGUUAAGUCCCGCAACGAGCGCAACCCUUAUCCUUUGUUGCCAGCGGUUAGGCCGGGAACUCAAAGGAGACUGCCAGUGAUAAACUGGAGGAAGGUGGGGAUGACGUCAAGUCAUCAUGGCCCUUACGAGUAGGGCUACACACGUGCUACAAUGGCAUAUACAAAGAGAAGCGACCUCGCGAGAGCAAGCGGACCUCAUAAAGUAUGUCGUAGUCCGGAUUGGAGUCUGC
rnacentral:rRNA from 1 species